rnacentral:rRNA from 1 species
GACGAACGCUGGCGGCGUGCUUAACACAUGCAAGUCGAACGGAAAGGCCCUGCUUUUGCUGGGCGCUCGACUAGCGAAUGAGUGAGAAACACGUGAGUUACCUGCACUUGUCUUUGGGAUAACUUUAGGUUACUGUGGAUAUUAUUGGGUAGGAGCUCCUGCUGGCAGGUGGUGGUUGGCAAGUGUCGGUGGUUUGGGAUGAACUCGCGGCUUAUCAGCUGGUUGGUGGGGUAGUGGCUUACCAAGGCUUUGACGGGUAGCCGGCCGGGGAGGGUGGCCGGCCACAUUGGGACUGAAAUAGGGCCCAGUCUCCUACGGGCGGCAGCAGUGGGGAGUAUUGCACAAUGGGCGGAAGCCUGAUGCAGCAACGCCCCGUGCGGAAUGACGGCCUUCGGGUGGUAAACCGCUUUCGCCUGUAACAAGGCGUGAGUGACGGUAAUGGGUCAAGAAGCACCGGCUAACUACGUG